rnacentral:rRNA from 1 species
UACGAAGGGGGGCUAGCGUUGCUCGGAAUCACUGGGCGUAAAGGGUGCGUAGGCGGGUCUUUAAGUCAGGGGGUGAAAUCCUGGAGCUCAACUCCAGAACUGCCUUCGAUACUGGAAAGCUCGAGUCCGGGAGAGGUGAGUGGAACUGCGAGUGUAGAGGUGAAAUUCGUAGAUAUCGCAAGAACACCAGUGGCGAAGGGCGGCUCACUGGCCCGGUACUGACGCUGA